UACAUUUUCAAUCAACUUUGCUGGAUUGUCCUUUUUUCUCCACAAAGACCUUGAGCAUGCAAAAACAUUCAUCAUGGACGAAUGACUCCCAAGCAGACUCAAGGCACGCCACCCCUACAACAUGGCAGCACAAGAGAUGCUCAAUUCCAUCCCUGAAGACAUCUCCAGAGAUGCCUGGCUGGCAGCAGCUUGGAAGCAGGAGUGGGAGGCAGCUGGCCCCUCCCUCAUGCACAGUUAUGUCUGGGAACCAGGAGACGGCGCCAUAGGAGGAGACGAACUACCUCGCCAGCAGUGGACCACACUGAACCGCUUAAGAACUGGUGUUGGGCGCUUCAACAUGUCUAGUGGGGUCUGGCGGACAGUGCGGCAUGCGAGUGCGGAGCCCUCGAGCAGACAGCCGACCACACCAUCAACACCUACACCAACAUAUAGACCACCCUCAGAGGCCGGCCUCUUCGACCUGGGACCAGAGAUGCUGGCGUGGCUCCACGACACCAAGUUGGAGCGCUGACGUUACACGAGAGAGAGAGAGAGAGAGAGAGAGAGAGAGAGAGAGAGAGAGAGAGAGAGAGAGAGAAGAAGAAAAGAAAAGUUGGGUUGGAACUUGAUCAUGUGAGUAACACAGCGCGUGCCGCUAACCGUGUGUACAUUGACAGACAGGAGGAGAAGCUGAAAAAGCCUGGAGUGACGCGCCGACAGUUUCCCAUCAAGCUUGCUUUUGCCUGCACGAUCCACAAGGUACAAGGCAUGACAACGUCAGAGGCUGCUGUUUCGCUGAAAGGCGUUUUCGAACACGGCAUGGGGUACGUAGCUCUGAGUAGAGUGACCUCGCUCAGCGGUCUGCAUAUUCUGCAUAUGGACGAGAGAAGACUUCAUGCAAAUCCAGAAAUCACUGCUGCUCUUGCUGAGAUGGCAGAGGAUUCUUUGGAGAGCGUCAUGCCACUCCUUCACGUGAUGCCGUCGGUAGAUCGAGCAAAUCACCUGGUUGUCGUCCAUCAUAACACCGAAGGGCUGUCUUGUCAUGUGCAGGACAUCAGGUGCCACCACGAGCUGCACUUUGCUGAUGUUUUGUGCUUCACAGAGACACACCUUCAAGGAUCUGUGGCUGAUGGACGUGCCUGCUUGGAAGGCUUCACAAUGUUUCACAGGAACCGAAGAGAUUCUUACACAAACUGUCCUGACUUGGCAACAAAACUUGGUGGCGGCGUAGGUAUUUGUGUCAAAAGUCACAUUGCAGCCCAGGAAAAGAAAUACAUACAGGGUGUGACCGACAUUGAAUUUGUUGUGGUGAAACUUGAAGCUCCCCUCAAUGUGUUGAUUGCUGCCGUUUACAGGCCUCCAGGCAACAGUCUGCGCACUUGAGAGAGAGAGAGAGAGAGAGAGAGAGAGAGAGAGAGAGAGAGAGAGAGAGAGAGAGAGAGACUCCCAAACCAGGGUGGCAAGAAGCAGGACUUCUCAUUCCUCUUUUUCUAUGUUGCGUGUGGCUCCACAUGCUCCAUUUGUAUAGACCAUUUGUUUGGCCACCUUGGUACUCAGCCUUGAUGAGACCUGGCCUGUCUCGCCAAAAAAAUGACCGACAUUUUAAGAAGAUCCAUGGGACCAGUGUUAUUCUCCUUUUCUAUUGACUCCAAGCAACAGCACAGGGAGAGCCAAGACUUUCCAAAAGACCUGUACAACGGAGGCCAGCAUCAUGAAACACAAACUCCCAAACCAGCACGGUAACAUGAAACACAAACUCCCAAACCAGCAUGGUAACACACAGGACUUCUUCUGAUUCUUCUUAUGUUCUUGGGUCUUGCCUGUGGUUCUACACGCAUCCAGAAAUGCAGACAAAGAACAGCUUGGCCUUUAACAGUCGGAAGCCUCUGAUUUUACUCUACUAAGCCUCAGAUACAGUCUGUUUUCUGUUCUCAUUCAGUCAUUCAUUCAUUCAUUCAUUCAUUUAUUCAUUUAUUCAUUUAUUUAUUUAUUUAUUUAUUUAUUUAUUUAUUUAUUUAUUUAUUUAUUUAUUUAUUUAUUUAUUUAUUUAUUUAUUUAUUAUAUUUUUUGCCUCAAAUUAUGUUUGCAUUAUCUUUUGUAUAACAGCGUCUUCAAUCAUGUUGCACUUAAACUCUUAAAAAAUAACACUGAAAUUAACAUAACAUCCAUCCAUCCAUUCAUUCUCUGAACCGCUUAGUCCCCACGCGGGCCGCAGGUGUGCUGGAUCCUAUCCCAGCCGUCAUCGGGCAGUAGGUGGGGGACGCCCUGAACCGGUUGCCAGCCAAUCGCAGGGCACACAGCGAUUAUUAUCUAUUGAAUCAGUAAAAUACUUGAUAUGUUUUUAUUUGUUAUGUCUUCAGCGUUUUUGAAAGUUAUUUAUAUUAUUUCUUGCAUUACUUCUUUGACUCAAUUAAAAAAACUGUAUUUUGUCCCAAAAGGCACUAUUUUUUUCCUUCUCUU